GUGCCACUAUCUUUGUAGGUUCGAUAACGAGUGCGAAAUUGUGCACCUUUGCUGAUGAAUUACUUUUAGAAGAUUGAUAUUGAUGCUUAAACUGGGGCGCAAGUAGCGCUACCAACUUUUACUGGACACGUAUGUGAACCAUUGACGGCGUGUGUCUACCGUACGGUCCAAGAUGUCCGUCUAUCGUUCUGAAAACAUCGCGACGGAACCGAGAAAUGUGUUUUCGGGUGUGUGUGACCCAACCAGUAAUUGGAUGGGUUUUUGGUGCGGGUUGGAAAGUCAGACAGGCAGUCGUUUCUGGAAUACACUGGACCAUACAAAUCUUCAGGUCAGAAUCAAAGCGCAGUUUACCCUCAGACCACACGCCUGUACUAAUGUUGGAACGCUGACCAUAACAAUAAACUGUAAAUAUCAAUGACAAUUAGAUUUAGAUGUUCGUUAAUCAAUAUCAUAG